AGAGAAUAUAGAAUUCCUCCUGUGGUCAAGCCUUGAAAAUAAUUUUGCUAAUUAAUUUUUCCUCUGAAUUUAAUUAUUGUCCAUUUUUUGCAGACCUGAAUGGAAUAAGUGACAGUGUCUUUACAUGAGUAUUGUUCGGAUUUCCUGCUGCUGUUAAACAUAAUAGUGAAAUUUCAAACAGCAGCAUCUAAAUCCAUGUUGUUCUUCCAGCUCUGUGAUUUUUGCAAGGGGAAAUUACAUCAGGGCAAAUAAACUGGCAGAGCUCGAGAAGGAGGUCUCCUCAGAAAUCCUCCUGUCUUGUUUGGCUUUUUCCUUUAUUUGUGCUGAGACAUAUGAGCAAAAUGAAGCAAGGAAGAUUUUUCCCUCUGUGUUUUCAGGGGAGGGGAGGCUGUAGAUGAUGAUGAAUCUCUCUUUCCAGAAAGACCAAUAAAAAAAGGGCCUAAACUCUUCUAUUCUUCUGU
rnacentral:lncRNA from 1 species